GAUGAACGCUGGCGGCGUGCCUAAUACAUGCAAGUCGAGCGAACGGACGAGAAGCUUGCUUCUCUGAUGUUAGCGGCGGACGGGUGAGUAACACGUGGAUAACCUACCUAUAAGACUGGGAUAACUUCGGGAAACCGGAGCUAAUACCGGAUAAUAUUUUGAACCGCAUGGUUCAAAAGUGAAAGACGGUCUUGCUGUCACUUAUAGAUGGAUCCGCGCUGCAUUAGCUAGUUGGUAAGGUAACGGCUUACCAAGGCAACGAUGCAUAGCCGACCUGAGAGGGUGAUCGGCCACACUGGAACUGAGACACGGUCCAGACUCCUACGGGAGGCAGCAGUAGGGAAUCUUCCGCAAUGGGCGAAAGCCUGACGGAGCAACGCCGCGUGAGUGAUGAAGGUCUUCGGAUCGUAAAACUCUGUUAUUAGGGAAGAACAUAUGUGUAAGUAACUGUGCACAUCUUGACGGUACCUAAUCAGAAAGCCACGGCUAACUACGUGCCAGCAGCCGCGGUAAUACGUAGGUGGCAAGCGUUAUCCGGAAUUAUUGGGCGUAAAGCGCGCGUAGGCGGUUUUUUAAGUCUGAUGUGAAAGCCCACGGCUCAACCGUGGAGGGUCAUUGGAAACUGGAAAACUUGAGUGCAGAAGAGGAAAGUGGAAUUCCAUGUGUAGCGGUGAAAUGCGCAGGGAUAUGGAGGAACACCAGUGGCGAAGGCGACUUUCUGGUCUGUAACUGACGCUGAUGUGCGAAAGCGUGGGGAUCAAACAGGAUUAGAUACCCUGGUAGUCCACGCCGUAAACGAUGAGUGCUAAGUGUUAGGGGGUUUCCGCCCCUUAGUGCUGCAGCUAACGCAUUAAGCACUCCGCCUGGGGAGUACGACCGCAAGGUUGAAACUCAAAGGAAUUGACGGGGACCCGCACAAGCGGUGGAGCAUGUGGUUUAAUUCGAAGCAACGCGAAGAACCUUACCAAAUCUUGACAUCCUUUGACAACUCUAGAGAUAGAGCCUUCCCCUUCGGGGGACAAAGUGACAGGUGGUGCAUGGUUGUCGUCAGCUCGUGUCGUGAGAUGUUGGGUUAAGUCCCGCAACGAGCGCAACCCUUAAGCUUAGUUGCCAUCAUUAAGUUGGGCACUCUAAGUUGACUGCCGGUGACAAACCGGAGGAAGGUGGGGAUGACGUCAAAUCAUCAUGCCCCUUAUGAUUUGGGCUACACACGUGCUACAAUGGACAAUACAAAGGGCAGCGAAACCGCGAGGUCAAGCAAAUCCCAUAAAGUUGUUCUCAGUUCGGAUUGUAGUCUGCAACUCGACUACAUGAAGCUGGAAUCGCUAGUAAUCGUAGAUCAGCAUGCUACGGUGAAUACGUUCCCGGGUCU
rnacentral:rRNA from 1 species